rnacentral:lncRNA from 1 species
AAACCCUCCCGUUUUAGAGCCUCUCUUCAGACAGACAGCCCCGAACGGGUAGCCACCGGAAGAGAAAGGUCUGCCGGCUGAAGGAGAGCCAAGAGGGGGCCAGGCUGGCCUCCAGUGGGAGGGAGUUCCACAGUCUGUGUGCAGCCACCGAAAAGGCCCUCUCCCUUGUCCCCCACCAAGGGCACCUGAUGAAGGUGGUGGGACUGAGAGCAAGGCCUCCCUUAAGGAUCUUAGCACUCGAGGAGGCUCAUAGAGGGAGACGCGGUCCUUGAGAUCGUUUGGAUCCUGGCCGUUUAGGGCUUUACAGGUUAGAACCAGCCCUUUGGAUUGUGCCCGGAAACGAAUCGGCAGCCUGUGGAAAAUCCCAUUUUCUCUCCAACAGAUUUCUCCGCCUCUGGGAUUCUUCCGGACGGUAGCCAGUUUGACCUGUCUUGGGAAACAAGCGAGAGCUCAUCAUCCUUCCAAGACAGCGGGACAAAUGAUGAGUUCUUACCUUCGCUGGCACCACCUCCUCCUUCGCCGCCACCGCCUUCUCCUCCUCCUGCCAGAGCGCCUCCUUCACCGAUUAUCAUCCCCCGCUUAUCCCUCGAAGUCGGUAGGAGCGAACUGGACGAUCAGUUGGACGAAGCAGAGAGGGCCAUCAAGGAGCUGGUGACCUACUGGGAGCACUGGUCUGAAGCAGACAGCGAUGAUGUACACCAAGAGACGAACAAGACCCGUAAGUGAUGUCCCGGAAGACGGACAACAUGAAAGCCCCACCCUGCUUCUUCCAGUGCUGGCUGGGAAAUGGGAUGCCUUUACAACUCCUUUUUUAAAUGGAUCUCCAAUCUCUUAGUGUGAACAAAUUCCAGCUGCGGAAGGCUCAACAGAGCCUCCCUAGUAGGAGCAGUCUACCUCUGAAUACAGUGGUGCCUCGCUUUACGAUUGCCCCAUUAUGACGAAUCCGCUUUAUGAUGUUUUCGCUUAUGGCGAUUUUCCUCGAACGGAUUAUCGUCGUUAAGCGAGGCACCACUGUAGAAGGCUACUAGAGGGUGGCAGCUGAGAAGGGCUCUUGUUGAGCCCUCUUGCCCUGAUUUUUUUCUCCUCUUUUUAUUCCUCAAGGACCUGUGUUUUUUUCCCCACCCCUCUCACCCUUGUACAGGUGAAUGGCCUCGGGGACAUCCCUUAGACCUGCACGACGAAUACAUCCGCGAGGACCCCGAUUACGACGAGGCUUGCGUGGAAGGAGAAGCUUUACGAGGUGAGGCGGUGGGGGAAGAGUAGCGGAAAUCCAAGCUGUACCUUCAGACCUUUCCCCACAGGUUGGGUGUUUUGGGCUUCCUUGGCCGUGACUCCUUCCUGUCACACAUGUUCGUUCUUUCGAUGUUUAAGCGAGGCAACUCUUGAGAGGAAAGAAAAACACUUUGUUCCCCCAAACUUAGACAGGC